rnacentral:rRNA from 1 species
AGGCAGCAGUGGGGAAUAUUGCACAAUGGGGGAAACCCUGAUGCAGCGACGCCGCGUGAGCGAUGAAGUAUUUCGGUAUGUAAAGCUCUAUCAGUAGGGAAGAAAAUGACGGUACCUGACUAAGAAGCCCCGGCUAACUACGUGCC